UCAAGAUGUACAACUCUCACCUCCUUCUCCAGCACCAUGUCUGCCUGCACCCUAGUUCUUGCCAUAAUGAUAAUCAACAAAACCUCUGGGACUGUAAGCCAACCCUAAUUAAAUGUUUUCUUCAUAAGAGUUACUGUGGUCAGGUGGCCUCACCACAACAGGUGAAACCCCAGUGAAGACAGAUGGCUCAGUCAACAAAGCGCUUGCUACAUAAACAUAAGGACCUGUGUUAGAUUCCCAACACACAUAUAAGAAGCUGUGCAUUGUGGCUUGUAUUUCUAAUCCCAGUACUGGGGUAAUCUGUCUAACAGAGGAAGCCAGGUCCCUAGAAAGAAAAGUUGGGUGCAUUUUUCCCUUCUCGGAAGGGUAAAGCUGAAAGUGUGAUGCACAAAUCGAGAUUGAUACAUUUGAUUAAAUAUUUUUUAACAUUUCUUCAAGGCCUGCAAAGAAAGGAAAAAUUUUAAAUUGGAAGAGAAACUAUCUCCAGGAAUAAAAACGAGCACAAGCCCAGAACACACAAGGGGAGUGCAGGUUUUUAUUAAAGAUGUGCUAGCUACUGUUUCUCACCCAUCAGACUGUCAAAAAUCCCAGCGUAAGUCUACUGUUAUGAAGGACAGUGGGUAACAGGCACGUUUCAGCAGAGAUAAUGACUGGAGAAGGUAUCGUUACAGAAAGAUCACCAAAAAUAGAAGAAAAAAAUGAAGGUGCCAUUUUACUCCAAUAGGAGGUGGAAGAGAGAAAAAUCCACAUUUAUCUGUCUGUGAAGAAGACACCCUUAUAUAUAUCGUGGCGGGGUAUGGCGCUGUUCAUUGCAUUGGGACACUGGGGAAAGUGUUUAGGGAAUGUGAAAUUUGACAUCGAGUAAGUUAGGAGUUUCUGAAGACAUGUUCACACGUUACAUCCAGGGUCUGUGCUCAGGGAAAGUCAAUGAAAUUCAUUUCUGUUGAAAUAUUAUAUAUAGAAGAGAACGAUGAAGGGGAAAUUUCUGAUUUCUUUAACAGCUCGGCUGUUUUGUCAUGUGAUGUUUUUCUGGAAGCUGUCUUGUUGGAGGGUGUGUGGUGUUUUGCUGGGAACAGACACGUGAGAGGGCGCCUGACGGUCAGAAGGGAUAUAAAUGGAACAAACACUGAGAAGACAUUCUUGCGUUGCUACAAUGUUGGUCUUUGCUGGUCCUCGAUGGUCGUCAUGUCAUCGAAAGAAAUGUGCCAAAGAACUUCUCAUGGUAAUCCGGCUGAUUCUGGUUGCUUCUGCUGACUCAUGCCCAUUCACCAUUUUAUUGAAUCAAGUCUUCGGUACUAAUUCAUAUUCGGUGUUUGCUAGUAAUAUUGACAAGAAGAGUGGCGUCACCCGAGGAACUGGUUCUAAACAGGUUCACUUCUCCUACUAACAUUCUUUCUCCCCUACCUCUGGUUGGUGAGCUAGGAGGGAGGUUGAAGUAUUUUAGAACCUAAAUGAAGUAGGUUUUGACAAACGUAAGCCUACAGAACAAAAGGGAUCAGUCUGUCAGAUACAAUUGAGAACCAUUGAAUUUAAUUAAACAAGGCAUCAUAUCGGGGAGAAAAAUCCAAAAUCUUAUUGGCCAGGCAGCCUUGUAAGAGGCAGGUGGAGACCUUGCCAUUGGUCAAACUUACGCAUCCCAGAAAGCUGCUGACUGUGAUGAAGCAAGACCUGAGCAGUGCGGACAGCAGUGACCCCCUUCUACAAGGACUCUGUGACACCUUCUGUGGAAGGAGGCAUGAGGCUUCAAAACACAACAGGAUUACUGGACCCGGCCUAUACCAGUCUUUGCCUUCCCUACUGUCAACUAGAAAAAUGGAAGAAAAGAAUAUACAGAAAUCUGGUGUGUUGCAAUAGAGCAGCCGGUGACAACCAAAUGAUGUUGCAGCCCUCCUGCCUCAGCAAAUAAAAUGCAGGUGCUCAGUUCAACAGAGUGCAGAAAACAAUGAGUCAAACUGCAACAUGAUCAGGUCCCACAACGUAUAUGCAAAAUUCUCAUUUAGUUUUCCUUUGCUUAUCUGAAAAUGAGGGGUCUUUUCUCUGGUCUACUUCUCACACUAUCCUUGUUGGAAGAGAAGCAUAGGUAGGAGGAGCUAAGCCCAGCUACCCAUCUCUGUGUACGCUCUGGCCACCAACCAGAAAAGAGAACCAAGUAUAGCCAGAAGACUCCCUAACCGCACAGAGAUACAAUACGCCCCAUAUAGGCAAUAGAUUGGCAAAGGCCUUCGAAGAAAUAGUAGACCAUGGUUUGAAUUCCAUUGCAACAGAGACCUUAUAUAUCUAAACAUAUGUGACCAAGAAAUAAAGCUGAGUGUGGAGAUAAAUUGCUAACUCUACGAGCUUUAUAACAAGAAGAAAGGCCUAAAACAUACACAACAAGAGAUGACGGGAAUAAACACAGCAUUGACACCAGUGUGAGUGGAAGAACUAGAGAUGUAUGGUUAAAGUAAAAUGUAAAAUAUGCAGGCAAAAGUGAAAAUAAGUGAAGGUAAAGUUGGUUAUUUCUAAA